AUGAACGCUGGCGGCGUGCCUAAUCCACGCAAGUCGAGCGAACAGACGAGGAGCUUGCUCCUCUGACGUUAGCGGCGGACGGGUGAGUAACACGUGGAUAACCUACCUAUAAGACUGGGAUAACUUCGGGAAACCGGAGCUAAUACCGGAUAAUAUAUUGAACCGCAUGGUUCAAUAGUGAAAGACGGUUUUGCUGUCACUUAUAGAUGGAUCCGCGCCGCAUUAGCUAGUUGGUAAGGUAACGGCUUACCAAGGCGACGAUGCGUAGCCGACCUGAGAGGGUGAUCGGCCACACUGGAACUGAGACACGGUCCAGACUCCUACGGGAGGCAGCAGUAGGGAAUCUUCCGCAAUGGGCGAAAGCCUGACGGAGCAACGCCGCGUGAGUGAUGAAGGUCUUCGGAUCGUAAAACUCUGUUAUUAGGGAAGAACAAAUGUGUAAGUAACUAUGCACGUCUUGACGGUACCUAAUCAGAAAGCCACGGCUAACUACGUG
rnacentral:rRNA from 1 species